GUCCAUUGUGAGCUCCCACAUCUGGCAAAGCUGUAGGGAUGGCUUUGCCCCAUGGUUUGCUCUUCUCUGCUUUUCCCUUUCUCUUCCCGUGCUUUUGAAUGCCUGCUAUUUGCAAACCUGCUGUUAAACUCUGCUACCACUGAACCCAUAUUAACCUGGAGGCAUUAGAGAAAUCGGUUGGAAAGCUCAAAACAUUCUUGAAGAGAGCCUUGCUUGCUGACUCUCCCAAUGGCUUUGCUGAGGUUUCGAUGCCCAACUCUUGUGAGUGUGGUGAGCCUUGGGGACUGUUCACAUUCAAGCAAUCCUAUGGGACAGCUGUGAUGGCGUUAGCUGGCUUCCAAAUAUCCCAACUGUGCUGGAGAAAGUUGGUCACCAAUUCUGGACUCAAGGAAAGUCAACAGCUUUGAAGCGGUUGAUGUGGCAUUUCUACUUCUGGACUUUUAGGAACUCUUCCUUGAUUUUGCAGAGAAUCUGUUCAAAUGUACUCAGUGGUUGUUGAGAUCCGAGGUUGCCUGUCACACCAAUAAAAUCUUUCUGUUUCCUUCUCCAUGGUUUUGGAAUGAGAAACACCUCAUGGCUCACUGCAGCAGGAGAGAAAGCUUCAGUGACACAGCUGCUGAGUGCAGGUACUUCUCCCAGAGCAUCAAACCAUUUUGGAUGACUUAUUCUAGGGAACCAUUAUGUUCUUGUGGGCACUGCAUAAGUGGAAAGAAAAAAUAAU